AAAAGUCACUCAUAGACGUUGGUACUACAGUUUAACAGUAAGUAACCCAUGUGCCUCCAUAGUAUCUUUUAGGCUUAAAUUAUAUCAUUCUAAAAGUAUAUUAAUUUUAAUAAUUAUUAAAAUUUAAUUUUAAUUAAGUAAUUUAAUAAUUUUAAUAACUGCUGGAAUCUAACAUUGAAAUUUCCUGAAUAAAAUUUGACCCCUAGAAUAUAAACAGAUUUUUUAAAAAAUGAAUUUUGAAGAGUAUUUUUUUUUUUAAAUUAAGAUUAGAGUAUAGCAUACAGGCUUGUUCUAGCUCUAAAAUUCCCAGGCUCUAGGACUGUUUUUUGUAAAAAAAAAAAUAUACUUGAAGCUUGUCUUUUUUGAAUUAGUAGUUGUAACUAUAGAGUUAAUGGAAAAGAUCUUAAUUAUUAGUUUCAUGUUGUCAUUAGUUAUAUGUUUCAAAGUAUAAUUUUAAAUAAUAUUAGAGCAUAAUGUAGAAAAUAGUAUACCCCUACCUUUAAAUGGCAUUAUAUUGAAGAUACACAGUAAAAAUUUAGAAAUAAAUGGAAUAAUCUUUUAAAAAUCAACUCCUUUUAAG
rnacentral:lncRNA from 1 species